rnacentral:rRNA from 1 species
GCGUACCUUUUGUAUAAUGGGUCAGCGACUUAUAUUCUGUAGCAAGGUUAACCGAAUAGGGGAGCCGGAGGGAAACCGAGUCUUAACCGGGCGUUAAGUUGCAGGGUAUAGACCCGAAACCCGGUGAUCUAGCCAUGGGCAGGUUGAAGGUUGGGUAACACUAACUGGAGGACCGAACCGACUAAUGUUGAAAAAUUAGCGGAUGACCUGUGGCUGGGGGUGAAAGGCCAAUCAAACCGGGAGAUAGCUGGUUCUCCCCGAAAGCUAUUUAGGUAGCGCCUCGUGAAUUCAUCUCCGGGGGUAGAGCACUGUUUCGGCUAGGGGGCCAUCCCGGCUUACCAACCCGAUGCAAACUGCGAAUACCGGAGAAUGUUAUCACGGGAGACACACGGCGGGUGCUAACGUCCGUCGUGAAGAGGGAAACAACCCAGACCGCCAGCUAAGGUCCCAAAGUCAUGGUUAAGUGGGAAACGAUGUGGGAAGGCCCAGACAGCCAGGAUGUUGGCUUAGAAGCAGCCAUCAUUUAAAGAAAGCGUAAUAGCUCACUGGUCGAGUCGGCCUGCGCGGAAGAUGUAACGGGGCUAAACCAUGCACCGAAGCUGCGGCAGCGAACGUAUCACUUAAAGCGAUUCAGCGGGUUACGAUUGACGGAGCGAAGCGACGUCAAAGCGUAUACAAAGUCGAGUCGGUUUAAGGAUACGUUCGUUGGGUAGGGGAGCGUUCUGUAAGCCUGUGAAGGUGGCCUGUGAGGGUUGCUGGAGGUAUCAGAAGUGCGAAUGCUGACAUAAGUAACGAUAAAGCGGGUGAAAAGCCCGCUCGCCGGAAGACCAAGGGUUCCUGUCCAACGUUAAUCGGGGCAGGGUGAGUCGACCCCUAAGGCGAGGCCGAAAGGCGUAGUCGAUGGGAAACGGGUUAAUAUUCCCGUACUUGG